UACGAAGGGGGCGAGCGUUGUUCGGAUUUACUGGGCGUAAAGGGCGCGCAGGCGGCUACGCACGUCCGUUGUGAAAUCGCUCGGCUCAACUGGGCGGGGUCGGCGGAUACGGCGUAGCUGGAGCAAGCUAGGGGGCAAUGGAAUUCCCGGUGUAGUGGUGGAAUGCGUAGAUAUCGGGAGGAACACCAGUGGCGAAGGCGGUUGCCUGGAGCUUUGCUGACGCUGAGGCGCGAAAGCGUGGGGAGCGAUCCGG
rnacentral:rRNA from 1 species